UGAGGAACAUGACCUUCGGCGGGGGAUAGCCGGCCCAACGGCCGGGUAAUACCGCGUACGACC
rnacentral:rRNA from 1 species